rnacentral:rRNA from 1 species
AUGACGGUGCGAGCGUUAAUCGGAUUUACUGGGCGUAAAGGGCGCGUACGCGGUUAUAUAAGUGUGAUGUGAAAGGCCCCGGGCUUAACCUGGGAAGAGCAUCACAAACUGUGUAGCUAGAGUAUAUGAGAGGGUGGCGGAAUUUCCGGUGUAGCGGUGAAAUGCGUAGAGAUCGGAAGGAACGUCAAUGGCGAAGGCAGCCACCUGGCAUAAUACUGACGCUCAGGCGCGAAAGCGUGGGGAGCGAACAGGAUUAGAUACCCUGGUAGUCCACGCUGUAAACGAUGAGGACUAAAGGUUGGUAGGGGAACUAUCAGUCUUGAAGCUAACGCGAUAAGUCUUCCGCCUGGGAAGUACGGCCGCAAGGUUG